CACCUGGUUGAUCCUGCCAGUAGUCAUAUGCUUGUCUCAAAGAUUAAGCCAUGCAUGUCUAAGUAUAAGCUUUAAACGGCGAAACUGCGAAUGGCUCAUUAAAACAGUUAUAGUUUAUUUGGUGAUCGAUUACUAUUUGGAUAACCGUAGUAAUUCUAGAGCUAAUACAUGCGUCAAGGCCCGACUUCGGAAGGGCUGCGUUUAUUAGAUACAGAACCAACCUAGGCUCCGCCUAGUCCUUGUUGGUGAUUCAUAAUAACCCGGCGAAUCGCACGGCUUGUCCGGCGAUGGACCAUUCAAGUUUCUGACCUAUCAGCUAUGGACGGUAGGGUAUUGGCCUACCGUGGCGUUGACGGGUAACGGGGAAUUAUGGUUCGAUUCCGGAGAGGGAGCCUGAGAAACGGCUACCACAUCUAAGGAAGGCAGCAGCGCGCAAAUUACCCAAUCCUGAUACAGGAGGUAGUGACAAGAAAUAACAAUACAGGG
rnacentral:ncRNA from 1 species